CAGUUUGUCGCUGGUGGUCUUUAAGACCACGAGAGGAAAGUCUGGGCAGUAUAGAGCACCGUACUUCCUAACGGGAAGGAUUCGUCCGUUGAUGAAUACAGCAAGUGCCACAGAAAACAAGUAGCCCUGAUGUUACAAUCAGGGUCAUAGUGAAAAGGUGAGGUAAGAGCUCACCGUUCCUUGUCGUGAGGCAGGAAGCAGGGUAAACCUUACGGACUGAAAGAUCAUGUAAACCAGGGCAUUCCUAAUGGAAUAUAGAGCUGCUCGCUCAACCUGGAGGGUAGAUCGAUGGAUUCCGAUUGUGAAAUCGGAACUAGAUAAAUGACAAACAUUCGCCUUUGGCGAUUACAGAACCCGGCUUAUGAUUUGCCUUU
rnacentral:RNase_P_RNA from 1 species